rnacentral:piRNA from 1 species
UCUGGACUUAGGCCAGAGGGAGGU